rnacentral:rRNA from 1 species
UACAUGAGUGGCGAGCGUUAUCCGUAUUUAUUGGGCGUAAAGGAUGCGUAGAUUGUAAAAGUAGUUGUAAUUUACUAAAACAGAUAUGUGGGUCAAUUUACAAUACCUUUUUACUAGAGUUUUUAUUAAGUAUACGGCAGUUGUAAACUAGUGGUAAAAUACGGUGAGUUUACAAUUACCUUCAUUUAUAAAAUAGUAUACUAUUAAUUAACUGACAUUGAGGCAUUUAAAGU